GACGAACGCUGGCGGCGUGCCUAAUACAUGCAAGUAGAACGCACAGUUUAUACCUUAGCUUGCUACACCAUAGACUGUGAGUUGCGAACGGGUGAGUAACGCGUAGGUAACCUGCCUGGUAGCGGGGGAUAACUAUUGGAAACGAUAGCUAAUACCGCAUAAUAUUAAUUAUUGCAUGAUAAUUAAUUGAAAGGUGCAAUUGCACCACUACCAGAUGGACCUGCGUUGUAUUAGCUAGUAGGUGAGGUAACGGCUCACCUAGGCGACGAUACAUAGCCGAACUGAGAGGGUGGUCGGCCACACUGGGACUGAGACACGGCCCAGACUGCUACGGGAGGCAGCAGUAGGGAAUCUUCGGCAAUGGACGAGAGACUGACCGAGCAACGCCGAGUGAGUGAAGAAGGUUUUCGGAUCGUAAAGCUCUGUUGUAAGAGAAGAACGGGCGUGAGAGUGGAAAGUUCACACUGUGACGGUAUCUUACCAGAAAGGGACGGCUAACUACGUG
rnacentral:rRNA from 1 species